CAGUAACCGCGGGAAUACAGAGGGUGCGAGCGUUAAUCGGAUUUACUGGGCGUAAAGCGUGCGUAGGCGGCUUUUUAAGUCGGAUGUGAAAUCCCUGAGCUUAACUUAGGAAUUGCAUUCGAUACUGGGAAGCUAGAGUAUGGGAGAGGAUGGUAGAAUUCCAGGUGUAGCGGUGAAAUGCGUAGAGAUCUGGAGGAAUACCGAUGGCGAAGGCAGCCAUCUGGCCUAAUACUGACGCUGAGGUACGAAAGCAUGGGGAGCAAACAGGAUUAGAUACCCGUGUAGUCCCUGUCUCUUAUAC
rnacentral:rRNA from 1 species